rnacentral:rRNA from 1 species
GACGAACGCUGGCGGCGUGCUUAACACAUGCAAGUCGAACGGAAAGGCCCUGCUUGCAGGGUACUCGAGUGGCGAACGGGUGAGUAACACGUGGGUGAUCUGCCCUGCACUUCGGGAUAAGCCUGGGAAACUGGGUCUAAUACCGGAUAGGAGCCAUUUUUAGUGUGAUGGUUGGAAAGUUUUUUCGGUGUAGGAUGAGCUCGCGGCCUAUCAGCUUGUUGGUGGGGUAAUGGCCUACCAAGGCGGCGACGGGUAGCCGGCCUGAGAGGGUGGACGGCCACAUUGGGACUGAGAUACGGCCCCGACUCCUACGGGAGGCAGCAGUGGGGAAUAUUGCACAAUGGGCGCAAGCCUGAUGCAGCGACGCCGCGUGGGGGAUGACGGCCUUCGGGUUGUAAACUCCUUUCGCUAGGGACGAAGCUUUUUGUGACGGUACCUAGAGAAGAAGCACCGGCUAACUACGUG